GACGAACGCUGGCGGCGUGCUUAACACAUGCAAGUCGAACGAAGAGCGAUGGAAGCUUGCUUCUAUCAAUCUUAGUGGCGAACGGGUGAGUAACGCGUAAUCAACCUGCCCUUCAGAGGGGGACAACAGUUGGAAACGACUGCUAAUACCGCAUACGAUCUAAUCUCGGCAUCGAGGAUAGAUGAAAGGUGGCCUCUACAUGUAAGCUAUCACUGAAGGAGGGGAUUGCGUCUGAUUAGCUAGUUGGAGGGGUAACGGCCCACCAAGGCGAUGAUCAGUAGCCGGUCUGAGAGGAUGAACGGCCACAUUGGGACUGAGACACGGCCCAGACUCCUACGGGAGGCAGCAGUGGGGAAUCUUCCGCAAUGGACGAAAGGCUGACGGAGCAACGCCGCGUGAGCGAUGACGGCCUUCGGGUUGUAAAGCUCUGUUAAUCGGGACGAAAGGCCUUCUUGCGAAUAGUGAGAAGGAUUGACGGUACCGGAAGAGAAAGCCACGGCUAACUACGUG
rnacentral:rRNA from 1 species